rnacentral:rRNA from 1 species
GAUGAACGCUGGCGGCAUGCCUAAGACAUGCAAGUCGAACGAAGCAGCCCAUUGAAGAUUGCGUGCUUGCACAAAAUCGGAUUUGGAUUCCUGCUUAGUGGCGCAAGGGUGAGUAACACGUGGGUAAUCUACCUUUGAGUCUGGAAUAACAGUUAGAAAUGAUUGCUAAUACCGGAUGAUAUAUGGAAUGAUACGUCUUUCUAUAUUAAAAGGAGCCUUUAAAGCUUCGCUUAAAGAUGAGCCCGCGCCGUAUUAGUUAGUUGGUGGGGUAAUGGCCUACCAAGACGACGAUGCGUAGCCGACCUGAGAGGGUGAUCGGCCACACUGGGACUGAGACACGGCCCAG